AUUGAACGCUGGCGGCAGGCCUAACACAUGCAGGUCGAGCGGCAGCGACUUAACUGAACCUUCGGGGAACGUUAAGGGCGGCGAGCGGCGGACGGGUGAGUAAUGCCUGGGAAUAUGCCCUGAUGUGGGGGAUAACUAUUGGAAACGAUAGCUAAUACCGCAUAAUCUCUUCGGAGCAAAGAGGGGGACCUUCGGGCCUCUCGCGUCAGGAUUAGCCCAGGUGGGAUUAGCUUGUUGGUGAGGUAAUGGCUCACCAAGGCAACGAUCCCUAGCUGGUCUGAGAGGAUGAUCAGCCACACUGGAACUGAGACACGGUCCAGACUCCUACGGGAGGCAGCAGUGGGGAAUAUUGCACAAUGGGGGAAACCCUGAUGCAGCCAUGCCGCGUGUGUGAAGAAGGCCUUCGGGUUGUAAAGCACUUUCAGUAGGGAGGAAGGUAGUGUAGUUAACACCUGCACUAUUUGACGUUACCUACAGAAGAAGCACCGGCUAACUCCGUGCCAGCAGCCGCGGUAAUACGGAGGGUGCGAGCGUUAAUCGGAAUUACUGGGCGUAAAGCGCAUGCAGGCGGCCUGUUAAGUCAGAUGUGAAAGCCCGGGGCUUAACCUCGGAAUUGCAUUUGAAACUGGCAGGCUAGAGUCUUGUAGAGGGGGGUAGAAUUUCAGGUGUAGCGGUGAAAUGCGUAGAGAUCUGAAGGAAUACCAGUGGCGAAGGCGGCCCCCUGGACAAAGACUGACGCUCAGAUGCGAAAGCGUGGGGAGCAAACAGG
rnacentral:rRNA from 1 species